UUGCCUACCUCGGGCGCUGUUGACAGCUAACCCCCGUGCGCGAGGAACCCUUCCCGAACGCCAGUUCGCGUUUCCAUCUCUUCCACAGUGGUAGCGCGUCUUCCGUUCCGUCGUUGCGCGUAAACCGGGGUGGCGGUGUGUCGUCGGGCAUUGGGAAUGGCGACGUUUACGACGUUUCGAUCGAGGUGAAAUCCCCGCGAGCAUCGGGGAGAACGGUGCGUCGGGGACGAUAGACGCGCGUACGGCGAUAGUCCCGCGAGUGUUGUUGCCCGUUAUGCGAUACGGUUGUCGGUACUGCGGGAAGUCGAGCAAGCGGAUCGAGCCCAGGACGUGGAUCGGAAGCAGCGGACGCAUCAGGGAGAAAAUGACGACGCGCACGACGAACCGCGCGAGAUCAUGGUGGUGAGGUGCGGGUCCGUCGCGCGAACCAGAGGCAAACGGCGAAGAAGGCAGCAGGCGGAGGGCUGGCAUGAACGACCAGGGAUACAACAGUCUCGACGACGCUCGCGGCGAUGGUUAUAGACGCGACGCGAUCACCAUGUUCGUGCCCGUUUCGGCGACUGUGCGACGCUCGUUCGGACUAUUUACGCUCGUUUCCGCUCGUCAUAUCUCUGAACGCUACGGUGACGCGCGCGUCAGAUUGACGGUGUACUAGUACGAGCCUUCGGCGCGUCUAAAGAAAUCAGCGACACUGGGAGGAACGGAGCCGCAGGGAGCUGCAACGAGCCAGGGUACCAGCGUGGCCGCGACCAUCGCGCUGCAAUGAACAGGCUGCACCUGCCAGAGCGCAUAAUGUGCCUCGCGUGACACACGCCGUUUCUCGGUACAUUUCUCGUCGGGGCUCUCGGCCUGCUACACGCCCCCGCUUCCGUUCCAUCCGGGGUAUAACCCUUACGACGAGGACGCGCGUACCAGGGAGGCACGAUAGUAAUGACGGUGAUGCUGCUGCAACGUUCAGUCACCCCGCAGUCGACGCACAGCCAAAAGACAGCGAACAAGGACUGCAGCGCGAAGCCGCCAUUCUUAUUCCUGCUGGACGAUCGUCCGGAUCAUCGACACUCGACGGAUACAACCACCACUAACAACAACAACAACAACAGCAUAAACAACAACAACAACAACAACAAUAAUAAUAAUAACAACAACAACAACAACAACAACAACGUUCUCAAAAGAGGCAACAGUAGUCCUUCGUACGUCGCCGAGGAGGCGGCGGCGUCGGUGACGUCUCAAAGACGCACCGACUGUGGCCAGGACGUCGCAAUGCGAUAUUACCGGCUCUGGAUCUACACCUGUAACUUGGUGCUGCUCGGUAGCGCGCUAGGCUUCGCCGCCACGGUAUCGCGAACACUUUUAUUCACCGGCGACCCGCGACGGUACGUGGUGCCAGGUGUGCCCCGUGCAUUCGACCCGACAGCGCUCUACGCUUACUUGGCCCUCGCCACUCAGCUGGGCCUGGUGCAGUUGCUCGGCUGCAUCGCCGCCAGGAGGCUGAGCGCCAGGCUCCUGAACGCCUACUGGCUCCUACUUCUGGCGCUUCUGUUCGGCGACGCCGUCAUCGGGGUCGCCUGGGUCUUCCGGUUCGAGAGGAUGCGCGCCGAGCUCAGGCCCAUUCUCAGACAACGACUGCAGAUGGAAUACGGCAAGGAUCCACGGUUCACCGAGCAGUGGGACCGUCUGCAGAAGGAGUUCAUGUGCUGCGGGGUGAUCGGUCCCAGGGACUUUGGGUCCCGUUGGCCGCAGACGUGCUGCGGGCCCAGCGCGAACGUAAGCGACACCUGCCAGCAUCCGUACGGCAGAGGCUGCGACGAGUCUCUGAUGCGAUGGCUCAAGAAAACCGCCGAUCUCCUCUUCGUCCUCGGCUUCUGCGUGAUCGCGUUCGCCAAACUCUGUUUCCUGGGUAUCCUGCGCUACGAGAUACGGGAGAUGAUACAGAAGAUACGUCUGCUCCGAGAACCACCACCGCCGGCAACUACGCUCGUUCAACCGCCGUUCUCCCAGGUCAUGCCGGAAGCGACGAACAACGGGAGCAUCGUUCGACGAACCACCCUGCCCAACGCCGUCACUCCUUCCGGGAACGCGUCGUUGCUACUUCAAACGGACGACUGCAACGCCGGAAGACACCCCCUGCUGGCGAACAAUCUGCAGGACGGUGGGGCGGACAGCGACACGAACAGCCAUUGCGCGCUGAUACUCGAGGAAACGACGCCGACCACGGCGAACCAUAACUGCGGUACGGCCCGCGAGAAGAGCAACGGCAACAACAACUACGAGAUGCGGGAGUUCAACAGGAGAUUGUUGCUGUCGAACGGCGGUAGCCCGGGCACGGGAAUAACAGCAGGCGGGCAGAGCAGGCGCACCUGACUAUGGAAGUGGUGGCGAAACACCUCGAACCGUUUCCUCUACAGGAGCAACCGGCCCGCUGAGAUCACCGUGUAUAAGAUAGACCCGCAGACCCGGAGGUUUCUAACGUUUCUAGAGAUUCUUCCGGCUCCACGAGCACAGCAGCCCGCAGUAACGUUCGAAGUUGUACGUUUGUUGCAGGAAAAACGUGUAAUUGGACUAUCGUACGUCGAAUAGAAAGCUUGAAACGUUCGUUCGCGUUAAGAAAAAACUUGAAUCGCAGCCGCCUAUCGAUGAUACGCGAACCGAGGCCAGAUCAGAAGUACGCAUUACGAGAGUCUUUGUGUUCCGAUAGAGAUUUCUAUUUAGGAAGUUUUUUCUACUUCCCGAGAAGCACAAAUUUUCAUUCGGAUCCAACGUCGAAGUGAAAAUAAGAUAAGAAGAAAUUUUCACCUAUUUUUUCAAGUUCUACCGGCAAGCCUCGAAAUAUUUCGAACGGCAUCGAUCGUGUUCAAGCCCGAAAGCUGACCAUAGAGUUCGCGAUGUCCGAAUCGCUCGUUUCUUCUGCGACAUCGCCCGAGAGCGGUGAAUCUGCACAGGCGACGGAGACACCCAAAGUGCUGACGAACAGAGUAACGUUUACUUUUGCGUGACGACGUGUUGCAACGGCCACGGUGAAACGAGUAUCGACGCUCACGAAACGAGAGGAGGAAAACGAAACAAGAAAAAAAGGAAAAAAUAUUAUAAAAAUGAUGAGAAAAAAAGAAAAAAAAAAAAUGAAAAUGAAAAUGAAAAACUACGAUGCGUCGAGGUUGCACAAAGGAAACGGAAGGCUACAAGCGCCUUCGUGGUCCUUGAAAAUUCUCUUUCUACGCCAUAUUCCUUACACGCCUCUCCGUCCUCGCACGGUCAGCGAAAUCAAUUACUUUUGUAGAUUUCUUUUCGAGAGAUAAGUUUCCUACGCUCUCUCUUGAAUCAAGACCGAGAACCGUUGUAUACUGAUUUUUACGCAAAUCGCGCGAGUAGUAUGUCACGGUACAUCGUAACUAUCGUUGCUGUUCGUGAAGUUCAAUAAUUUUAUAGUUCGCAAAUAUCAAUGACCCCCCCCCAAAAAAAAAAUGGACAAAAAAUACGUAGAUGGUUUGUCGCGAACAGCUAAAUAGCAGCGAGCGUGUUACGAUACUUAUUUAUAAGUAUCAACGAAUAUCUACGGUAUAAAGAAACGAACCUUCGAAUCAGUUCCGGUAUGAAUGAAAAUAGAAAUGUUUGUUCGUUGCUAACGAAUAAAUUUGAUUUCGAAGUCAAAUUUAUUCAUCGUUUACGAGUAUGUAAAUGCGCACGUAAGUUUUACUCGUUUCGAAACAAAAUUCGCUCGACUCCGCGUCGCGAGCCCGUGAUACGAUAGC